rnacentral:rRNA from 1 species
UUGACAUCCAGCGAACUUUCCAGAGAUGGAUUGGUGCCUUCGGGAACGCUGAGACAGGUGCUGCAUGGCUGUCGUCAGCUCGUGUUGUGAAAUGUUGGGUUAAGUCCCGCAACGAGCGCAACCCUUAUCCUUUGUUGCCAGCGAUUCGGUCGGGAACUCAAAGGAGACUGCCGGUGAUAAACCGGAGGAAGGUGGGGAUGACGUCAAGUCAUCAUGGCCCUUACGAGUAGGGCUACACACGUGCUACAAUGGCGCAUACAAAGAGAAGCGACCUCGCGAGAGCAAGCGGACCUCAUAAAGUGCGUCGUAGUCCGGAUCGGAGUCUGCAACUCGACUCCGUGAAGUCGGAAUCGCUAGUAAUCGUGGAUCAGAAUGCCACGGUGAAUACGUUCCCGGGCCUUGUACACACCGCCCGUCACACCAUGGGAGUGGGUUGCAAAAGAAGUAGGUAGCUUAACCCUCGGGAGGGCGCUUACCACUUUGUGAUUCAUGACUGGGGUGAAGUCGUAACAAGGUAGGCGUAGCGAG